AUUGAACGCUGGCGGCAGGCCUAACACAUGCAAGUCGAGCGGAGCGGCGGACGGGUGAGUAAUGCCUAGGAAUCUACCUGGUAGUGGGGGAUAAAGUCCGGAAACGGGCGCUAAUACCGCAUACUAUCAGAUGAGCCUACGCCGGAUUAGCUAGUUAGUGGGGUAAAGGCCUACCAAGGCGACGAUCCGUAACUGGUCUGAGAGGAUGAUCAGUAACACUGGAACUGCGAUACGGUCCAGAGUCCUACGGGAGGAAGCAGUGGGGAAUAUUGGACAAUGGGCGAAAGCCUGAGCCAGCCAUGCCGCGUGUGUGAAGAAGGUCUUCGGAUUGUAAAGCACUUUAAGUUGGGAGGCGUUACCAACAGAAUAAGCACCGGCUAACUUCGUGCCAGCAGCCGCGGUAAUAC
rnacentral:rRNA from 1 species